rnacentral:rRNA from 1 species
GAUGAACGCUAGCGGCAGGCUUAAUACAUGCAAGUCGAGGGGCAGCAGGUCUGUAGCAAUACAGAUGUUGGCGACCGGCAAACGGGUGCGGAACACGUACAGAACCUUCCUUCGAGCGGGGAAUAGCCCAGAGAAAUUUGGAUUAAUACCCCAUAGUAUAUUAGAGUGGCAUCACUUUAAUAUUAAAGAUUAUCACUUGAAGAUGGCUGUGCGGCUGAUUAGGUAGUUGGCGGGGUAACGGCCCACCAAGCCAGCGAUCAGUAACUGGUGUGAGAGCACGACCAGUCACACGGGCACUGAGACACGGGCCCGACUCCUACGGGAGGCAGCAGUAAGGAAUAUUGGUCAAAUGGACGCAAGUCUGAACCAGCCAUGCCGCGUGGAGGAUGAAGGUCCUCUGGA